AUUGAACGCUGGCGGCAGGCUUAACACAUGCAAGUCGAGCGGAGAUGAGGUGCUUGCACCUUAUCUUAGCGGCGGACGGGUGAGUAAUGCUUAGGAAUCUGCCUAUUAGGGGGGGACAACAUUUCGAAAGGCAUGCUAAUACCGCAUACGCACUACGAGGGAAAGCAGGGGAUCUUCGGACCUUCCCCUAAUAGAUGAGCCUAAGUCGGAUUAGCUAGUUGGUGGGGUAAAGGCCUACCAAGGCGACGAUCUGUAGCGGGUCUGAGAGGAUGAUCCGCCACACUGGGACUGAGACACGGCCCAGACUCCUACGGGAGGCAGCAGUGGGGAAUAUUGGACAAUGGGCGGAAGCCUGAUCCAGCCAUGCCGCGUGUGUGAAGAAGGCCUUUUGGUUGUAAAGCACUUUAAGCGAGGAGGAGGCUACCUGGAUUAAUACUCUAGGAUAGUGGACGUUACUCGCAGAAUAAGCACCGGCUAACUCUGUGCCAGCAGCCGCGGUAAAAC
rnacentral:rRNA from 1 species